CCGGCCUCAGUGUUAGGAAGUAUCGUGAGAUUUCAGGUCUCGCGAGGUAACGAAUUGCUUUACGGCACUAUACGCGCACACGCAUGCGUACACGUCCCCAUCCAUCCAGGAGCCGGCUAGCUAUAAGAAAAAGGUAACGCUAGAUAUUGAAUUCUUCACGUUUUCGUGAUGGCUGAUGUAAAAGAAGAAGAAGAAAGCUCGGAAGUGUUUAUCAGAGGAACAAAGAAAGAGAAAACGGACCGGCUUUUUCAGAAUAGAGAGAACUGAAAGAAAGCGAAGCCUGCAAAACCGAUGCUGACCUGGCCUUCUUGCUGUUGCACUUCUACAAGCGUUGGCAAGUGUUAUCAACUCCGAGGCACCCCAGACCACCAGUACCACCGGUCUCAAGCUUCAAUAAUAAAAUAAACAAUCUUGUAAUAAACAAA